rnacentral:rRNA from 1 species
UACGGAGGGUGCAAGCGUUAUCCGGAUUCACUGGGUUUAAAGGGUGCGUAGGUGGGCAGGUAAGUCAGUGGUGAAAUCUCUGGGCUUAACCCGGAAACUGCCGUUGAUACUAUCUGUCUUGAAUAUAGUGGAGGUGAGCGGAAUAUGUCAUGUAGCGGUGAAAUGCUUAGAUAUGACAUAGAACAUCGAUUGCGAAGGCAGCUCGCUGCACUAUGAUUGACACUGAGGCACGAAAGCGUGGGGAUCAAACAGG